rnacentral:rRNA from 1 species
AUGUCGCCUUUUCUUAAGCCCCGAGCAGCCGCGCCGCUAGAGCUCGUGAACCUUGCCGCCACCUCGACCCCUCCGUGUCCGGGACAUCGGGAUGUCGCCGGCAUGCGGAACGAAGCUGCCCCAACUGGAUCCACGCCCUCCGCCAUCGCCCGCUCUCCCGCCAUCCUUCCUCACCUUGAAUUGGUCGCGCCGAGAAAGAAGGCUGCCGAGCCAAAUUUGCUGAACCAGGCUGCCAAGUUUGAGUUGUCCUUUCUAGAGUCUCUUUUGUGUCAUGGUAUAUCUGUUAUCGAGAAUGAUGCUCAGAAAAUUCUUCGUUCCAUGCCAAAUGACAUUUUGUUUCGACUCGAUAACACCAGGUAA